rnacentral:rRNA from 1 species
UUUCUCCGCCGGCGACCGGGGCGCACGGGUGAGUAACACGUAUGCAACCUGCCCCUGUCAGGGGGACAACCCGCCGAAAGGCGGGCUAAACCCGCGUACAUGCCACCGGGGCAUCCCGGAGGCAGGAAAGGCUUCGGCCGGACAGGGAUGGGCAUGCGGCGCAUUAGGCAGUAGGCGGGGUAACGGCCCACCUAACCGACGAUGCGUAGGGGUUCUGAGAGGAAGGUCCCCCACACUGGUACUGAGACACGGACCAGACUCCUACGGGAGGCAGCAG